rnacentral:misc_RNA from 1 species
GUUUUACUUUCUUUUUUCCCUUUUAGCUUGUGAUUUGUUAGAUUUGAUGGGAUAUUUUAACAUAAUUUUAGUUUUUGUGGCUUUUUGUUGUGCUUGACUGUGGUUUUUGUUAGCCAGUUUCUGUUCUUGGUGUAUUGAAUGAUGAAAAUCGUUUAAUUUUUGAUUCCCUUUAUAUCAUAUCCAUGUUUUUUAGGGAAGAGUGUGUAGCUCGUAAUUUUAAGGACGGGAAAUUCUUGGAUCUUCAUGGUUAUACGGGAUUCUUGGAUUCUGUGGGCUUGAUCUACUGAAGAAUUGUAGGUGUCUUAAUGGACCCGUCGGUGGUUUUAAAAGUUUUCUUCUUGAAAAAUCUGGAUCUUGACAUUAACUUUUUUGUCGGUGUUCUUCUUCUUCUUCUUCUUCU